UCUGGGAAGGUGGCGCACACCUGUAAUCCCAGUUACUCAGGAGGCUGAGGCAGGAGGAUCGCUAGUUCAAAGCCAGCCUCAGCAACAGGGAGGCCCUAAGCAACACAGUGAGACCCUGUCUUUA
rnacentral:sRNA from 1 species